AAACGCGUCGCGACUGGAACCCGAGAAUCAUUAAUGUGGCAAUUGCACUACAUCACAGGAAGCGUGCACUGUUUAUUUUGAUGUUGAUUCACUUUUGACGUAGGACUAUUUUGUCCGGUUCUGCUGACGGCAUAAAAUAUCGGACGGAGCGUCAAUCUUGAUGUCGGGGAUCUCGCAUGCCUUAAACAGUGCGCUGCUGCGGUUUCGUUAUCAUCGCAGAUUUGUAGCCUUCGAUGAUGAGUUCGCUUUCGGUACGGCGGCACCUAGCUAAACUUUUCUCAAUUAACGCACAAUAAGAUUUACAAACGCUUGUUACUCGAAACGGCGCGAUCGAGCAGUACGUUGGAGGUCAAAUUUAUAUUUAUAAUUAGAGCGGUUUUCCCCGAUGGUCAACAGAUUCGGCACGCUCAGAAGAAACUCCAGGGGCCCUUCGUGGAUGCGUACAUUUUCGAGAUUGACGUCCAUGAGCCACAUGCUUAUUACCGAACAAAACUCCUCCCGCGAAAGGCGUGCGGCAAGCGAUCCACGGCACCAACAUCAGACGUCAGUUUUGGCAGAACCAGUCAACGACAUGAUCAUGGUAAUCUAACAGGUUCAGCUAUGGUCAGCCGAUGACGUUUCAAUAAAAACCGUGAGUAAAAUAA